GUGUCAGCAGCCGCGGUAAUACAGAGGUCUCAAGCGUUGUUCGGAUUCAUUGGGCGUAAAGGGUGCGUAGGCGGUAGUGCAAGUCAGGUGUGAAAUCCCGGAGCUCAACUCCGGAACUGCACUUGAUACUGCUCUGCUAGAGUACUGGAGAGGAGACUGGAAUUUACGGUGUAGCAGUGAAAUGCGUAGAUAUCGUAAGGAAGACCAGUGGCGAAGGCGAGUCUCUGGACAGUUACUGACGCUGAGGCACGAAGGCCAGGGGAGCAAACGGGAUUAGAUACCCGCGUAGUCC
rnacentral:rRNA from 1 species